GGGAUUCCCUUAGUAACGGCGAGCGAACCGGGAAWAGCCCAACUUGAAAAUCUCCUNCCUUCGGUAGGCGAAUUGUAGUCUAUAGAUCCGUUCUCUGCGYCCAGAUGGGCCCAAGUUCYCUGGAAAGGGACGUCGUAGAGGGUGAGAGCCCCGUMGGCCSKYCGGUGGCGCUUYACGAGRCGGAAUCGAAGAGUCGGGUUGUUUGGGAAUGCAGCCCAAAGCWGGUGGUGAAUCCCAUCUAAGGCUAAAUAUUGGCGAGAGACCGAUAGCGAACAAGUACCGCGAGGGAAAGAUGAAAAGAACUUUGAAGAGAGAGUGAAAUAGUGCCUGAAAUUGUUGGGGGGGAAGCGGUCGGACGUCGGAGUGCCGYCGGGCUUAUGGCCUCUUUCCGGGGGUCUGUAUGCUCCGUCGSCUGGUCARCACGGDUCUGCCGGUGGGGAUAAAUGCUGAAUYUGUUUUCRGUUCCUACCUGGCGGUGGAUCGAGGUUUCUACRGGCGCCGCGACCUUCGGGAUCUGCGUCUGCAGGGUGUUGGCAGAAGGCGUUC
rnacentral:rRNA from 1 species